AUGCCUCUCGAGCUUUUCCACCACUUGGUCACUCUGCUCCUUCUCCUUGUGGCUGCCGAUCGCGGUCUCGCGGCCACGGUCGGCAGCGACGACAGUUGGCAGUUCGCCUACAAUGGCUUUGCCGGCACGAACCUCACUCUCGACGGUGUGGCCAAGGUCACGCCCAACGGCCUCCUCAUGCUGACCAACGGCACCAUCCAGCAGAAAGGGCACGCCUUCCACCCGUCUCCUGUCCCGUUCCGGGCCGCGCGCUCCUUCUCCACGACCUUCGUCUUUGCCAUCUUCGGGCAGUACAUCGACCUGAGCAGCCCUGGCAUGGCCUUCUUCAUCACCACGUCCAAGGAGGUGCUGUCUACAGCGCUCCCUCGCCGUGGAGUUGGACACCCUCCACCCGCAAAAACAAACAAACAAACAAAAAAAGAGUUGGACACCCUCCACAACUCCGAGUGCCACGACUUAAACGGCAACCAUGUCGGCGUCGACCUGGAUAGCAUGGUGUCCCGAGAUUCCGCCGAUGCUGGUUACUACGACGAUGCCACGGCCCGGUUCCUCAACCUAAGCCUCAUCAGCCGGAAGGCAAUGCAGGUAUGGGUGGACUACUAUGCCUCUGCCACAGAGAUCACCGUGACCAUGGCUCCCCUUGGCAUAGACAAGCCCAAGAAGCCCCUGCUACGUACCAUCGUGGACCUCUCGACCGUGGUGCAGGACAUGGCCUACGUUGGGUUCUCCUCGGCAACGGGAGUCCUCUUCACACGCCACUUUGUCGUUGGUUGGAGCUUCGCGCUGGACAGGCUAGCUCCGAUGUUGAAUAUCUUGUCAUUGCAUGCCUUGCCGCCGAUCGGACCCAAGUCACAGUCCAAAGUGUUGCAGAUCGUGCUACCCAUAGCAUCCUCCACAACGGUUUUAUCCAUGGGCAUCAUUGUUUACAUUUUGGUUCGAAGGCGUCUCAGGUACGCGGAGGUCCACGAGGACUGGGAGAAAGCAUUUGGGCCGCACCGAUUCUCUUACAAGGACUUAUUUCAAGCGACCAAGGGGUUCAGCCAGAAGAACCUACUCGGAGCUGGAGGCUUUGGAAGCGUCUACAAGGGCGUGCUUCGCAAGUCUCACAUGGAGGUCGCCGUGAAGAGGGUGUCGCAUGAGUCAAUUCAAGGGAUGAAGGAGUUUAUCACGGAGGUUGCAAGCAUGUGA
rnacentral:rRNA from 1 species